GUCUGGACUUGGAACCUUGAGGGUUACAUCAAAUGGUAAUUUGUAAGAGCAGGAGUAGAGGAAGGCCCAACGGUCACGGGAGUUUCUAGAGAAAAGAGUANNNAAAGAGUAGAAGGUUGUAGAAAAAAGGAAGCAUAGCUGGCACAGAUUGGUUAUAGCAGAAUAGCAUGUGUAGGGGCAUCUAUAUAUAGAGGGUAAAUGGUAGAAGAAGGGC
rnacentral:misc_RNA from 1 species